GAAAUACAUUUGAAAAAAUCCACCCUACUGUAUUAUUGAUUUUUGCAUUGAGAAUAUUCCAAGUAGGGUUUUUAUUUUUAUUUUCUUGCCUUUAUUGAUCAGAUUUCUCUGAUAUCUGAGAUAAAUCACAUUUUAGUUUGGCACUUAUAUUUUUUAUUAGAAAAGUGUCCGUUGAAUGGUCGAUGUCAGACGAUUAUAUCGUAGGGAACACUAGGCUACUGUUGUCAAGUGCUGCAGAAUAGUUUGGCUGUGAAGUAUGGUAGUAUAUUCUGCCUUGUGAAAAUAGCCUUUGAGUCUCCAGUCCCUUUGAGUAGGACAAAACCGAGGUCUUCAGCUUGUCUUCAGCUAGAGGGUUUGAAAACCAAACACCUUGGUUUUCUAACCUACGUAGAUAUAAUUUCUGCCUUUAAUACAGUAUAAAAAAAAACAUGCUUUAUCUUAGAUCUCAGUUUCGCUAUCAUAAUCACUGUUAGGGCUGGAAAAUAAUAUGAAAAUGAAUCCCUUUGCAGAAUCGAGGGAAUUAGCAUGGACGACAUGCUCCAAAUGGGAAUCCGUCAAUUGGGUUUCCUAGGAAUGUUUCUGGAGUUUUCCAAUCCAACACACUAUAGCUCUUUGCUGUCUCUCUGUAGCCACCUUAGGAAGAGCUUAAUUCACGUUCCUUCUACCAGCACAGAUAACUGCAGCAGCGAGUACUGCACAUAACCAAAUAUGACGAGCCCCUUGUCUUCAACAGAUUCAAGGCCGUUAUAGUCCAAGGGGCCCUUUAACACCAUGCUCGUUAAUGUAUUCCUACCACUUCACUUUUUUUAAAUCCUAAACGUGGCUUGAAAUACAAAUAUUACACAAUAUGAAGUGCAAACACAAUCAUAUCAAACUGUUCAUUCGCUAGAGCAAAGGGCCAGAGUUUAGCACGAGUUCCACUGGGGAAAAGCGAGAGAGACAAGCUUUGGGGAAAAAGCCUACAAAUAGCUUUACAGUAUGUGCAUUCUAGGUAAUUUUACCAGACAUAACCUAAAUGGCUAUAGAGGGGGUAAUGUAAAGGAAUUUCCAGGCGGUGAACAUGAUACGCACUUUGAACUCUUCCUGCUCCUUACACAUCGCUCGCUGCGAGAGGAAUGACACACAUUCACCCACAAGAAAAAACAACAAUUUCGUGUGGGUUUUAUUUUUUACGCAAAACUUUGAUUAUUCUAAAUGCUUUCGUGAUGAUUUAAACCACGCUUAAAGUGACUGUGCCAGUCAAACUUAACACACCCAGGAGCCAUAGCCAAACAGAAGACUACAGUACCACUCACACAGACUCUGUUUCAAUGUUGCUUUUUCAGUCAAUGCAACCGCC
ensembl:lncRNA